rnacentral:snRNA from 1 species
UGCAGUAAACCACAUGAAUAU